rnacentral:rRNA from 1 species
UAGGGAAUCUUCGGCAAUGGACGAAAGUCUGACCGAGCAACGCCGCGUGAGUGAAGAAGGUUUUCGGAUCGUAAACUCUGUUGGUAGAGAAGAACGUUGGUGAGAGUGG